UCUCCGUUGGUGAACCAGCGGAGGGAUCAUUACAGGACUGGCAAGACUCCUACAACCCUGUGAACUUAACUACAAGCACGUUGCUGCCGCGGGUGUCUCGGAUGGGGUUCUCCCUACACUAGAUGCUAAACCCGCGGCGAGCCACCUAUACUCCGACUCUUUUCGUUGGAACCUCGAGUCUGAGUAAAAAAUUUAAAAAUUUCAAAAACGGAUAUAUUGGUUCUGGUGUCGAUGAAGAACGGAAGAAAGCGGAAGAUCACACGUCUGAACGCCUGUCAU
rnacentral:misc_RNA from 1 species